rnacentral:rRNA from 1 species
AUUGAACGCUGGCGGCAGGCCUAACACAUGCAAGUCGAACGAGUGGCGGACGGGUGAGUAAUGUCUGGGAAACUGCCCGAUGGCGGGGGAUAACUACUGGAAACGGUAGCUAAUACCGCAUACUAUCAGAUGUGCCCAGAUGGGAUUAGCUUGUUGGUGGGGUAACGGCUCACCAAGGCGACGAUCCCUAGCUGGUUUGAGAGGAUGACCAGCGACACUGGAACUGAGACACGGCCCAGACUCCUACGGGAGGCAGCAGUGGGGAAUAUUGGACAAUGGGCGGAAGCCUGAUGCAGCCAUGCCGCGUGUAUGAAGAAGGCCUUCGGGUUGUAAAGUACUUUCAGCGGGGAAGCGGUGCCCGCAGAAUAAGCACCGGCUAACUCCGUGCCAGCAGCCGCGGUAAUAC